rnacentral:rRNA from 1 species
UGCGUAGGCGGAUUAAUAAGUCAGUGGUGAAAUCUUUCGGCUCAACCGAGCAACUGCCAUUGAUACUGUUAAUCUUGAGUUCGGUUGAGGUAGGCGGAAUGUGUAAUGUAGCGGUGAAAUGCUUAGAUAUUACACAGAACACCAAUUGCGUAGGCAGCUUACUAGACCGACACUGACGCUGAGGCACGAAAGCGUGGGGAGCGAACAGGAUUAGAUACCCUGGUAGUC